rnacentral:piRNA from 1 species
UAUUUGCAUCGUGACAGCCACUCAG